GUUUGUGAUUUAGUCAAGUAUUUAGUCUGUGAUUUAGUCUGUGUGCCCAAAGUUCUGUUUAUCAUCCAUGAUGUUAGUGAUAACUAAAUCAAUACUGGCCAUCCCUGGAUAAUGAACAGGUUCUGAGAGGUGGAUUUUGUCUAUAAGUAAGGAAAUGCACAAAAAUCACUCGAUAUUUAACCAUAACGCCACAGUAUUGGAAUGAAUGGCAUCAAAAGCUCAUAAGACUGAGAAGAAAGGAGAAUUUCGAGGUUUGUCAAUCACAGAAAUGAAUGUUUGAAGCAGCCAGUAUGAAGCUCACAGCCAUGGUAUAAGUUUUCUGUAACAAACAAUCUGCACAUUUUGUCGAAGUGGAUGUCAAAGUUGUGUGAGGACAUCACUACUGCAAAAGCAACAUGACCAGAAGCUUUUCCAACACGGACAUCAAUCUGAGAACAAAAUCAUUUGUUGUGAGAAUCCUCUACUUCACUGAUGUAUCAAACCUGCACUGGGAUCACAACUAUUUUGGGUGUAAGACAUCCACCUUUCUCUGAAUAAAGAAAGAAUAGAGUGUGGUGCAAACUGGUGCAAAGCCAGAAUAUUUAUUAGCCCGCUGUGCAAAACACAUUUCACCCGCUAAUCCAGUCAUUGGAGAAUUUCUAACUCUACAUGCUAUUUUGCUUUUUGACACUGGUUUCAAAUUUCAUCAUCUUUAAGGUACUUUCCAAACCAAGGGAU